rnacentral:rRNA from 1 species
AUACGGAGGGAGCGAGCGUUAAUCGGAAUUACUGGGCGUAAAGCGCGCGUAGGCGGUCUAUUAAGUCAGAUGUGAAAUCCCAGGGCUCAACCUUGGAACUGCAUCUGAUACUGGUAGACUAGAGUUUUGGAGAGGGAAGUAGAAUUUCAGGUGUAGCGGUGAAAUGCAUAGAGAUCUGAAGGAAUACCAGUGGCGAAGGCGACUUCCUGGCCAAAAACUGACGCUGAGGUGCGAAAGCGUGGGUAGCAAACGGGAUUAGAAACCCCAGUAGUCC